UACGUAGGGUCCGAGCGUUGUCCGGAAUUAUUGGGCGUAAAGGGCUCGUAGGCGGUCUGUUGCGUCGGGAGUGAAAACUUACAGCUUAACUGUGAGCGUGCUUCCGAUACGGGCAGACUUGAGGUAUUCAGGGGGAGAACGGAAUUCCUGGUGUAGCGGUGAAAUGCGCAGAUAUCAGGAGGAACACCGGUGGCGAAGGCGGUUCUCUGGGAAUAUCCUGACGCUGAGGAGGGAAAGUGUGGGGAGCGAACAGG
rnacentral:rRNA from 1 species